rnacentral:rRNA from 1 species
UAUUUAUUAGAUAAAAAACCAACGCCCUUCGGGGCUCCUUGGUGAAUCAUAAUAACUUAACGAAUCGCAUGGCCUUGCGCCGGCGAUGGUUCAUUCAAAUUUCUGCCCUAUCAACUUUCGAUGGUAGGAUAGKGGCCUACCAUGGUGGCAACGGGUAACGGGGAAUUAGGGUUCGAUUCCGGAGAGGGAGCCUGAGAAACGGCUACCACAUCCAAGGAAGGCAGCAGGCGCGCAAAUUACCCAAUCCCGAUACGGGGAGGUAGUGACAAUAAAUACUGAUACGGGGCUCUUUUGGGUCUCGUAAUUGGAAUGAGAACAAUUUAAAUCCCUUAACGAGGAACAAUUGGAGGGCAAGUCUGGUGCCAGCAGCCGCGGUAAUUCCAGCUCCAAUAGCGUAUAUUAAAGUUGUUGCAGUUAAAAAGCUCGUAGUUGAACCUUGGGUCUGGCUGGCCGGUCCGCCUCACCGCGAGUACUGGUCCGGCUGGACCUUUCCUUCUGGGGAACCUCAUGGCCUUCACUGGCUGUGGGGGGAACCAGGACUUUUACUGUGAAAAAAUUAGAGUGUUCAAAGCAGGC